rnacentral:lncRNA from 1 species
CAACCAGUCGGCCGCGAUUCUUGGAGACCUGCUCAACCCUCCUCUGACCUUCCCAUCUUCUGAUCCUCGUCUCUCAACGACCUCGGGGUUGGAGAUGGGCCUUACGCUCUCCUGCUUUUCCGCCAUCGGCAAGGUCUCUCCCAGUAAGACGGAGGGGGGGGAGAAACGGGUUGCGGAGACUUUGAAGCGGAAGAAGGAGAAGAAGCCCAGAGAGACCGCCGCUCUGGUGGUGCCGAACUUCCCUCAUCACUGUCGUCCGGGCCUUCUCUGACUCCCCAAGCUCCCUCUCUCUCGUUCCUCUCCGCCACUUGGAGAGGACGAACCCACGGCCGAUGCUCUGCGUCGUCCCCGUUCAUCCUGCAUCAUUUCGUCUCGCCGCCGGAGGAGCCUGGGAGAGUGCAUGUAGCUGGCUACGGGCUCCUCUACCACACGGAAGUAGGGAAUGAAGUUGCAGCUUCCGUGGUCUUCUGUCAUACAAUUUUGGAAACUCGUGUACAAUAAAUAAAUAAAAAAUUAUUCGGUGCAAGCCUACAAGCCUAUUCCAUUCUUAUUCAAUUCGAGCCAACACAGAGGACGUGCUAGAGUGAUUUUUCAUGAACUAAAAGAGACUAAAUCUGGAAUCAUCUGCAGCUUUAGUAGCAUGUUAAACUUACAUACUCAUAAAAAUCGAAACCCAUUUGUAUGAAGCAGACACACAGCAUAAAUUUAAGGAACUUAGCCCAAAAGAAUUAACGGUAUAUCAUGCAAGUAAUUCAAGAAGAAGUAUAGUACAAAGUUUAUUCGACUAUUUAGUCGGAUAUAUAUAAUAAAUCUACUAUCAAGUUGACUUCAGUCCUCAUUGAUGUAAUAUAUUAUCCUUGUCUGACUAGUAGCCGCCAUGGAAGCAGAACCCACCUUCCGUAGUCACUUGUCUCACCUGCCAUCUCGGAACAUUGAAUACUGAUACGGGCAAAAAAAUCUGCCCUUACAAGCUGAUGCACUGCUGUUCGAUCCUUCAUGGAGGCUAGUUCAUAUAGUCUGACAUCAUUAUGAAGGAUAAUUCUCUGCCCAGCAGAUUAAAGAUUAAGCGACGCUGAGACACUGGAUUUCUGAUGGUCUCUGUCAACGAUAGGUUGACCAAAAAGUUAAACUAUCAGCGGGGGUCCACUAAUGAUCAGAUCGUGCUAGAUAAUGCCCCAUGAAAGAGCAAAGCAGACUUAGCCAUAAUGACUAGCAUGGUCUUCCGUAGGAUCCCAUUGAUCAUAGUGUAUUCACUUGCUCUCUCGAUAAUUUUGUCUGCAAACGUAUACUAGAAUUAUACACAGGUGAGAAGUAUUAUACACUAUUCUCUUUAUCUCUAUUCGAGGUGGCAGAUAUUCAAUUUUGUACUGCCGCGCAUUCUACACCGGAAAAAUAAUCCGAAGAUAAAUGAAAUAUCUGCAGUAAGUGAUAGGCAGCCUUCUCUGCUGGAUUUAUAUAUAUAUACAAACAUAUACAUAAAGAGAAAAAACUGACUGCAUGUUUCACCAGGAAUUUCGGGAAAAUUUCACAAAAAUAUCACAUUUUUUUUUGAAAGUGAACGGUUUCAUAAAAAUUCCAAUUGUUUUGUGAGUUUCCUUUGUCAGACCUGCUACAACUUCAGUUGCCGUACAGAUGCUUACAAUGAAGAAAGCAAACUCUCCACUGCCUUUCACAAGGUUCCCAGAUAAAAUCCGGGUAAUCUAGGAAAGACCAAUUAAAAAGUGUGAUGUAAGGAUUGUUGUUUUUUAUCAAGAUGUACAGCUGCGAAAGAAAAAUAAGAUCAGAAAAAAAUGGAGUGUAUAUAGCAGACAAAAGCAAUGUUUAAAGAUUAUCUGAUAAUUAUAGAAGAUCAUCGCUAUAUGCAUGUUUCUGUAAAUGGUUAAAACAAUACGGGUAGUAGAACAUAAUCCAACGAAAUAACUUUUCUGUAAUUACUGCAAUAUGAAACAAAGUAGUUCAUAAGAAUCUGUUUCAUGAUCCCUGCAGUGAAGCAAAAGGCAAGUUAACCUAUUGCGGAAUAAGUGAGAAUACUAUCCAGCUGUCAUCAGCUAGGAAUUCGAGACAAAUAAGGAGCAAGAAGUAACAAAAAUCUAACAAUAAGAUGGAUAGAACAAUAGUUGAGACCAUUAGGAAAAAAUAUCCUGGUGUCAAGGUUGUCCAUUCGUACGAUUAAGGAAAAGACUCUACCAGUGGACUCUUAAAUAUGAUGAAUAUAUGAUGUAAAUUUACCUAGAAGCCUAGCAAGCAUAUGCAAGACCAUAUGAAGGAGGAUAAAAAUCUUUUCUUGCCUGUUUAUUCAUGAUAGAACAUCAAAGAAUAUUUCCCAUCUAAAACCUAAAAUCUAAAUAAUUUCUUGUCACAAAAAAUGCAAGAACUCUUGGACAGCGGCUGGAGAAUCCCCUGACCAAUUCAGGGAGGCACUUUGAUCAAGGAAAGUGAAAUUUACAACCAAUAAAUUUGUCACCGAUCGCCCGCCAGCAUAACCUAAAGGCAUGCCAUUUUCAGGUAAACACUAUCUGGGCACUGUUUCAGCACAUGACCCAAAGACAUGAAAGACUUAAGUAAGAAUCCUAGCUCUCGCUAUCAACUCCAGCAAAAGUUGGGAAAAGAGAAGACACACUUGAAACUAACUAUAUGAACCUAAAAUUUAGAAACAUGUAUAGAACAUUGCAGAUUAUGGAUCCGACCAUACCCAAAAAAAAUCAGCCAUGAUGAUAAUAACAUCCCAUUCUGGAAAAUUAUCUGAAAAAACACCUAUAUAAAAGGGGCCGAAAUUUAGCAUUGAUGCUGUAUUGCUUCUGAAAAAAAUUAUACACAGGAUUAACUCAAAGGCAUUCCAACAAUCAACUUCAUCUCUGAAUGUGGAUUUAAUGAGGACCUGCGUCGAGUCAUGAUUGAUUACAUUAAUUGUGCGGAAAAUUUUGGCAGAAUAUCAAGCGACAUGAGUGCAUAGAAAAACAAUAAGAGCGACCACAGUAUUUCGUGUUUAGUUAUAAUUUCAGGAACCAGCAAGCCGUACCAUCAGCCAUUCCUAUCACGAAGCACUUGCGCAUCAAAUGAGAAGCUGAAUGAAUGCGCAUUGCUCGAGCUUGCUGUUUCACUUGGGUCAAACGCACACUUUUAGGUUCAGCUGAAUGCAGUUGAGAAGCUUCCUCUAAUGGUUGAGCCUUGGACAUAACUAAUUUCAGAAUGCAUAAAAGAAAUGAGACCUACAAAUGAACAGACCACUGAUGGAGCUAUAACAGUGGCCAGGACAUAUAAUAUACCUUCGCCCGGGAACACAGGGAGAUCGCCAUCUGCUGGUCGACUGAUCAUCGUAAGAGAUCCAAAAGAGCUGGGCGAAAGCAUGCCCUGCAAACUCUCGUCAGUUUCAGUUGUCUCAGAGUCGUCAGAUUGGGCGUCCACUCUAACGACGGUAGGACCUCUGACGACGAGACUCAAGUCGGAGGGUGGGUCGUCCGCCAUGUCGCACCUUCCUUUCCUUGCUUCCACCUUCCACCUCCACUGGUGCUGCCGACUGCCAUGUUCUCUUACUUGUGCGCCGCCGUCCAGCUGCCAUCUUGGUUGUUCAUAUCUGAACUUCUGCUGCGCAUCGUGGAGAUCGAUGAGUCCGCUGGUCGUCUGGGCGUUCAACCCGGAAAUCCCCUGCUGCCCCCCUCGUUCAUUCUCCUCCAGGGUUCUCUGACCAUUUGCCCGGGAGCUUUCUCCUCCUUCCAUGGCCAACAUUGGAAGAUCGUACACGGCUCUGACCGUUUCCUCAGCGCUCGCCCUCAACCUCCUCAGCCUGUACCUCAACCUCCGCCGCUCAUUCUGACAGGCGAUCUCUUCUUCAGUCAUCUGUGCCCUCCGCCGCCGGUACCACAGCCGCUGCUGCUCCCUCCUCUCCUUCCCCUCAUCCUCCGACAUCUGAGCCCACUUUCGUCGCUGAUGCAUGGGCUGCUGCUGCUGCUGCUGUUCGGCGGACACCAUCUCCACCCCGCCCAUCUGUUGCACAUUACGCAUGCACAAACAAACCCAUCCACUGACUACAUCAGAGAGCGCCGACGCCGAGAAGAAGACGGCAACCCAUCGGUCGACUUCGUACAAAGCAAUGAAAUCUCGCUCUCCUUUUCCAGAAUCUGCGAUGAGGUCAAGGCCGAUGUCACAGUAAAGAUCUCCAACAGGAAGAAACAAUUAUCAAGAAACAGUCCCAAAAACGCGUCGGAAGCGCGCUAAUGGCGUUGAAAGGCCGUACCUCGAGGGUUGAAAGGCCACUAAUGGCGUCGCCCUUCCCUCACGUCACCCGGCCCGGUUUACUCCCGCCUCCACCAUUCCAAGAAGCAACUCAAGAACCAGUGGCGGGCCGCCUCAAACGCCGUCUGCAGCGCCAACCACCCGCUCUGUAAAUCUGGGCCUUGGAGGCUCUCUCAGAGGAGGGGGGGGGGGAGGGGAAGAGGGGCCCUCGAGCUCACCCACUAGCUGUCACAUCACCCAACGGAACAAUGAAACGCCUGCCUCUGCUUCGCCGGGCAACGAACGGAACAAUCAGGAUCGCGUGAUCGGUGGACCCCAAUGCGUGUCUCAAAAGGAAUGUCAGAUUCCGUGUUCUGGUUAUUAAGGAUGCGGUCUGCACCGCGUGAUCGGCGGGCCCGCCCUGCGAGAGCAGACGCGGGACUUGAGUAGGGUUGGUUGGCCCUAGGAGAGAGGCGGCGUGCCCGAGGAAGACAACACGUGAUCGAGCUCAGAUGCGUGCCCGUUCCUUCCUAGGCAUGUGGCACGUGCCGAAAAUUUUUGGCCUCCCACGUGAGCUAGAAAUUUGCCCGCCUAAGCAAGAAACUAAUUUAAAAUUGGUGUUUCCGGGGUAGACCCCACUCAACUUGAAUUUAAUAAAAUGUACUCACAGUAACUAUUGAUGUUUUCGUAUAGUUUCCAAUAAAUUAUAUCAUAUUUACUCACGUGACCUUGAGCACGUAGUAAUAAGAUUUAAUGUGGGGGAGCUCCAUCACUUGCAUGGGUUAAUGUGGGCGCAUGUGUGUGCAUGUGUACAUGUGCUGACACAUUGUAAGGUAUUCCCAUGUUGUGACAUGCACAUGAUGGAAGUAGCUAGAACAUGCAUCACUACUAGGUGGAACCACUAGAGUAGAGUGAAAUUUAUGGGUAUUUGUCCAUAAAUCAUAGAGGCCAAUUGUAUGACACUACAUGGCAGUCAUAAACUCUAGCAUAGAUUGUAUGGUGUGGCACAUAUAAUUCAUGCACAAAUAUGUCUAGUUUAGCAUACAAAUAUGACCUCCAAACAAGUUCAUGUGAAGAGGCAACCUGCAUAGAUGUAUGCAAGGUUGAUACAAGGAGAAGUUUACAUAGUUGUCUAAGUCAAACUCAGAAUGACCAACAAUCAUAGAUGUGUAUGUCGAUCUCAUCAUACAUAGUGGUUAUAUCUUCACCGUAAAAAUAUGACAUACUACUAUAUGAUUUGCAUAUGUGCAGAUUGACUAAUCAUCAUUAGUAUAUAAAUAGUCAUAUUAAAAGCAAGAAUGAAAAACUAGGUAUAUUUAUUAAAUCAUUGUGAAAAUUGGUAUCAAAGUCUAAGGCAUUGAUGUCAAAUAAAUUUGAGACCCAAGGACAAGGAAUUACUUCCCUAAAGGACCAAUGGUUCAAGUUCUAAGUCCUCACCUCCUUGAGUAAGACCAAUAAGAGAUGAUCAUUUAUUUACUAAAAAAGUGAUGCAAGUAGGAGUGCAUAAAAUGAUCAUAUACUCAAGUAGAUAGUAGGUAGAUGCUACUAUCACUAAAAAGUGAAAAGGAGUACAUUGAAUCACUUGCAAUAUACAUGUUGCUGCUAAAGUGAGUUGGAUAUGAGUGUGUGAUAAUAGUCUUGAUACUAAAAAACAUGAGUGGAAAUGUAAAAUGAUACUCUUAUACUAAAAAAAUGUAAUGAUAUAUUAAAAAAACUUGAUUGAGCAUUUUCCUAAUCUUUAGAAUAGUCCGAAAUGAUUUUAGGAGUUAUUGUAUAACUAGAGAGUCUCCUAAUUAAAAAUAGAGCCAAUACACCUUGUUAGAUGAGUUUUACACACAAUUAGAAAGGUACUCUAGAAGGUUAAUUUCAUAUCUCAAUACCUUUCUUAUCAGGUGAAAGACAUUACAAAAGAAUAAGCAUCAACAUUGAGAAAAUGUACUCCAUAGUAAAGUUAUAAAGGCACAUUACAAAAAUAUGCAAACAAUCUCAUGACUCUUGAAAAUACUUGAUUGUUUUAAUAAUACUGUAUUAUGAACUACAAAAGUUUUUUGAAGUAUUUUUUUAAAAAAUUGAGAAAAAAUGAGAUCCAAUCGUGAAGGAAUAAAUAAUAAGGAAUAGAUAAUUUUAAAAAGUGAGAAAUAUUUAAAAUUAAGGUCCUAUUAUCAAUUUAAAAUUUUUGCGUGGAGAUAAGGUAAGAAAACCCCUAGUUUUACCCCUUUCCGCGACCGACUCGAAGCUUGGCUGAGUCUAUACUGCUAGUAUUGGGCCAAAUUAUUGGGCUCCAUAAAAAUGGGCUGGACCUGCAACACGGAAAUCGGACGGAUGCGCUUCUCUUGUCAGACCACAGAGGUGUGCUUACGUGGCACAACCCUCAUCACACGAUCUGUGGACUUCAUGAGCUGUAGACAGGGGGCCCACCUUCCCAGACAGCCACAGAAGACGAUGGCACUGAGGAAGCUCAGCACCGAUAUCGGCCUCUGGUUUUCAAGGGUGCGGAGGGUUCCCGGAAGAUCGAAGCGGCGAAGAAGAUCGAUUCUCGAGGAGAAGAAGGGGCCCUACUAGCGCAGGCGAAGUCCAGAGAUCGCUUGCUUUCAUCAGAGGGAGGAUUCUGCUGCUCCGGGAGCAAGGAGCGAGCUAUGGCAACGGCUCUCUUUGGCGGCUGCUCCUUCGCCUUGAGGAUUGAUUCAAGCAGACCUCGGCGUGUACAUGCGAGGAGUAGCGCGGAAAUGGGGAAGAAUGCGGGGUCUAAAGACGAGGGGCCUGAGACUUGUGGAGAUUUCCUGACGAGGAGGGGAGCUCUGGUUUCCGGGCUGUCUUUGAUUUCUUCCGCGGCGUUGGGUUUUCCCGGGGAAGGGUUGGCUGUCAAGCAGGGUCUUCUAGCAGGAAGGAUCCCGGGCUUGUCCGAACCGGAUGAGAAUGGUUCGUCCCUUCCUUUUCCCCUGUUCUAUGCGCAUACUUCAUGAGCACUGCCCAGCUUGCAGAGAAUACGGCGAUUCCAGAGUUCUACCAAAGGAAACCAAUAAAAUUCAUGUCCAACGCUGAAAUUUAUUAUUAAUCUAAUAAAUUUACAAAAAAAAUGUAUUUAGUUAUUUAUUUUUACAUUCAGAUACACAUUUAUAUGUCAACGCGGUUUUUUCUCAGCAAUAAAUCUCAAAUGAUACUUAAACAUUUGGGGUGUUAGUAGGCUUCAUGUAGAUUAUUUCAGUGCUAUCAAAGUCUUAAUUCUUUUUAGCUCAGAGUAAUACAAUCUCUACAGUAGAAACAAUUAGAACACCAAGAUCAUUUCUCUGACUUCCUGGGGAAAAAAGAUCCAAAAUCUUUUAAGUGCAUUCGAUCAGGUUGUGUUUAUCAUAAAAUAUUUACGUGUGCAUGUAUACUAUAUACUCUAUUUAUAUGUUGCUCAGACAGGUUGGAGGACGUACCGUAGACCAGAUGAGAAGUCCGGAGGACAUGGAGUUGGCUGGAGUCCAAUCAUUCCGUACUCAUUUGCAGUCCCCGACGGGUGGGAAGAGGUAGAUUUCACCAAGAACACAAAUAUUAUGUUCAUUAAACGAUCGUCUUGACCAACUUAUAAGCAGUAAAUAUGCUCUUGCAUUAUCCCAUUGUUCCUGCACAUCUGAUCGACGUAGAUCGGUUCUGUUAGGUUCCUGUAUCAAUUGCAGACCUCGGUGGCACUGAGAUUGAUCUGAGAUUCGCAAACUCCAAAGAAGGGCGCUUGUUUAUUAUCGUAGCUCCUGUUCUCCGAUUUUCAGGUGAGAAAUCUUGCUCCCCAUUUGCGUCCUAUCUUCCCUGUUUUUCAAACAAAUAUAUGCAUGGGCUCUCUAUUUGCAUUCUUUCAACGCUCUUCCAAGCUUUCAAUGGCAUCCUCCAUUGGAUUGGCUGGCAUAAUUACCCUUGCAUAAUGCCAAAAAUGUCUCUCAAAAACGAAGGAAAAUAGCAUACCAGGCAUAGCUCCUGUUGGGGCAUGAGAAACGGGAGGCACCAACCGAGUUGCUAGAGUUUCUGUAAACCCACUAAGAUUUUUCUUGGGAACUUGGGGCCAUUUCGGGGCCUUCCUGGUUGCAGAAGCAGAAGAUUCCAGUCAUAGUGAGUAACCGAUCUCCUUGUUCUGGACGCAAUGCCAAGGAAGAAGAACGUGUACUGUUCUUCCUCUGUCUCUGAUCUCCUUCGGGGACUGCCUGAUGAAUUGAGAUUUACACACCGCUCCUGUUUUGGUGAUGCUUCUGGUUCAGAUGUCCUCGGAGACGAUGCCACAAUAGAGAAGAUUGGGCCGCCGGAGAAGGUGAUCAACGCCUUCGGCCCAGAGGUCAUCGGAGAAAACGUGGAAGGCAAGGUUUUAAGCAUGCAAGUCGCCGAACAUAUGGGGAGGACAUACUACCAGUUCGAACUGGAGCCGCCCCACGUGCUGAUUACAGCCACUGCAGCAGGAAACCGGCUCUACCUGUUCAAUGUGACGGCCAACGGUGAGAUUUGCUGUUCUUCGCUGUUCUUCAACUGGUCUUUCCAUGAUGAACUCAGAGGCUUACACCUUCACAUCCCGGCAAUGGUUCUUUCAGGUCUUCAGUGGAAGAAGCAUUACAAAGACUUGAAAAGGAUCUCGGAUUCCUUCCGAGUCGUCUGAAACUGCAGGUGAGUCUUCCGGGUACUUGAAAAAAAUUUUAGAUCAUUCAUGUACAGACCUUCAGUGCGACAGAGUUGAAUGAUUCAAAGUCGAGAGAUUGUGCCAGAAGUCAACCUGUCAUCUGCCGCCCCCACGCUGACUAAACUGCACCCGGGAAUCUUCUGAACUCCAGAGUCAACCAUCUGUCUCCUCAUGUUCUCUGCUUCCUCCCAUCUACUUGAGGCGGCGUAGAUGUUCGAUAGCAGCACAAACCUGGCAUCAUCUCUUGAUUCCACUUCCCUCACCACCUGCUCUGCCAAUUCUGCUUCGCCAUGGAUCCGACAGGCGCCGAGCAGGGCCCCCCAGACCACGUCAUUUGGCUCCAUGGGCAUCAUUCUGAUCAACCCAUAAGCUUCCUUCAGUUUCCCAGCCCGGCCAAGAAGGUCUAUCAGGCAUCCGUAGUGCUCGACCCCGGCUUCCAGCCCAUACCUCGUCUUCAUCCUCGAGAAAAGCUCCAACCCUUCCUGGACGAAUCCGCCAUGGGUGCAUGCAGAGAGAGCCGCGAGAAAUGUGACAGCGCAGGGCUCUUCUCCCGACUCCUCCAUCCGGGAGAAGAGCUCAAGCGCCUCCUUGCUCCGGCCAUGGCUGGCCAGGCCUGAGAUCAUCGUGUUCCAGCACGCUCUGUUCCUCCGGGCCAUCCCUUUGAAGAUCCUCUCGGCUCUCCCCAGAUCCCCACACUUGGCGUACAUGUCGACGAGCCCAUUGAGGACGAACUGGUUCAGUCUGAUCCCUGCCCGGUGGAUGAGCCUGUGAAUCUCCUUACCGCUGUCCAGUAAGCCCGCCUGCGCGCAGGCGGAGAGAGCACUCGCCACCGUGACCUCAUCGGGCUCGAACCCCUCCUCCUGCAUCCUUCGGAAGGACCUCAGAGCCUCCUCGAAGAAUCCGUUCUGCGUGUACCCAACGAUUAAAGUAUUCCAAUUCACCAGAUUUCUAGCAGGAAUCUGCUCGAACACCUCUCUGGCCUCUUCCGCCCUCCCUAACUUGAAAUACCCAGUGAUCAUCGAGGACCAGACGAAGAAGUUCCUGCAAGGCAUUUCCUCGAACACCUGCUUCGCAGCCUCCAUCUGGCCGUUGACCGUGUACCCGUGGACCAGCGCGGUCCACGUGACCACGGUCCUCAUCUCGGGCGGGGUCCUGUCGAAGAACUCCCUGGCAGCGGCAAUAUCCCCUUCCCUGGCGAGGCCUUCUAUCAUCACCGUCCAAGUCACCGGCGUUCGAGCAGUCAUUUCGUCGAACAGGAGACGCGCAGAGGCCAUGUCGCCGCCGCCGGAGUGGCCGCUGAUCAUCGCGUUGUAGGUGACCGCGUUCCUGUGAGGCAUUUGGUCGAAGAACCUACGUGCAUCCUGUAUAUCGCCGCAUUUGCUGUACACGGAGAUGAAGGUCGUCCCUACACGGACGUUCGAGGCCAGCCCCGCUUUGACGGAUUCUGCGUGGAAAGCCUUCGCAAGGGUCAGGAGAGAGAGGGCGGCGCAGGCCUUGAUCGCCGCCGGCAGCACCUGACGGCGGGCUCCCCGUGGGAGGCCCCUCGUGAGCAUGAAGAGAGCUUCCUCUGCGAAACCUUCGGAGAGGUAGCCCCGGAGGAGCCGGCACCAGAGGGAGGAGUCCUCGGUGCCCGUGGUCAGAUAGACUGCAUGGUGUCGCCGAAGGAGAGCUCGCCUCUGUGAUUUCGCCAUUCUUCAGAGUUUGAAGAAUGGAGCAGAGGUUGCUCCGGAUGCUGCAGAACUGUGGAAAUCCCAGGGAGUUGAAGCGAACCCACCUCCAGAUCCUGGUCCGGGGCCUCGCCGACGGCGACCUCCUCCUGCCUAAGCUCGUGGAGGUAUCUUCCGCCGCCCACUCGCUCAGCUACGCUGGCCGUGUGGUCCGGUGCACGCAGACGCGGAGCGUGGUGGCGUACAACAACAUGGUUAAGUGCUUCGCCGGUAGCCGAAGCCCCGCCGGAGCCGUCUCGGCCUACGGCCGGAUGAGAGCUCUGGAUGUCUCCCCCAACAGCUUCACCUUCACUUUCCUGCUCAGAGCAAUGGAGUCGGGAGGUUCCUCGCAAGGAGGGGAAGCUGUCCACGCCCAGAUAGUCAGGUCUGGUUGCGGGUCGAGUCUCUUCGUCAAGAACACCCUCUUGGCCUUUUACUCCAAAUGCAGCCGCGACUUAGCUCCCGCGCGUCAAAUGUUCGACGAAAUGCCGCAGAGGGACGUGGUCUCCUGGAACUCCCUGAUUCACGCGUAUAUGAUACGCGGAGAGGUGGCGACUGCGAUGGAGGUGUUCGAAUCAAUGCCCGAGAGGAGCAUCGUCUCGUGGAACUCCAUAAUCACAGGCCUCUCCAAGGCCGGAGAUAUGCGCUCGGCGCAGCUGAUGUUCGACCGGAUGGCCGUGAGGAACGUCGUCUCAGGGAACGUCAUGAUCGCCGGUUACGCGGCGGCCGGCGACAUGGUGGCGGCCCGAUCCAUCUUCGACCGGAUGGAGGAGAAGAAUGUGGUUUCCUGGACGGCCAUGGUCUCCGGCUUCACCAAGAUCGGCCGCAUGGAGUCGGCGAGCUCUCUCUUCCAUCAGAUGCCGACGAAGAACACUGUCUCCUGGAACGCGAUGAUCUCCGGGUACAACGAAAACCAUCGAUUCGAUCGAGCUCUGCAGACAUUCCAGGCCAUGCUGAUCGAUGGCACGUGCCCACCCAAUGAAAUCACUCUGAUCGCCGUCGCCUCGGCUUGUGGGCAUCUGGGUUCUCUCGAGCAUGGGAACUGGGUCUACUCCUACGCCAAGAAGAACGGCUUGGAGAUCACCUCCGAGCUGGGGAACGCGCUCGUGGACAUGUUCGCCAAGUGCGGAGAGAUGAAGUGCGCGGAGGCGGUGUUCUAUCAGAUGACCAGGAGGUGCGUAAUCUCGUGGACGACCAUGAUCUGGGGACUUGGUGCCCACGGCCAGAGCGGAGAGGCUCUGGCUCUGUUCGAGGAGAUGUGCCGCCGUGGAGUAGAACCAGACGACGUCACCUUCAUCGCCCUGCUCUCGGCGUGCGCCCAUGGCGGGCUGGUGGAACAAGGGCAGCGAAUCUUCAGACAGAUGACGACGGAAUUCGGCAUCCAGCCGAGGAUCGAGCACUAUGGCUGCAUGGUUGACCUCCUCGCUCGGGCAGGGCUGGCAGAAGAAGCAAUUCAGUUCAUCGGAAGCAUGCCCGUGGAGCCCAAUGCGGUCGUCUGGGCCACCUUGCUGAGCUCCUGCCGGUGGGAACCGGUGGUGGACUCAGUCGGCAGGAAGAUGGCGGAGCUGGAGCCGCUGGAACCCGGCUACCAGAUUCUCCUUUCCAAUUCCAGUGCGUCUGUUGGAAGAUGGCGGGGCGUGUCGAGCAUCCGAGGAGCCAUGUGGCAGGAGGGGGUGGAGAAAGUCCCCGGGUGCAGCUCCAUCCAAGUGGGCUGCGAGGUUCAUGAGUUCCUGGCCAAGGACUUGAGGCAUGAGAGGAGAAGCGAGAUCUAUGAGGCUUUGCAUGGGCUUGCAGACAUCUCAAGGCACGCAGGCCACCACCCAUUCGAGAUGCCAGAUUAUGCCUUCCAGCACCACCCCAGGUUACCCAAUCCUGAUGGGCAUUUAUGCACGCAUGCUUCAUGAUAUAUGAUUCCACAGGGUGUUAUUUUUUUCAUCUACUUUAUAUAAAUAAGGAAGGCAGAGAUUCUAGUGUCCAACGACAUGGGUUUUAUAAAAUGCUCAUAAACCCCACUUUGCAUUAACUAUGUGGAAUGCUUGAUGAUGAUACAUCUACAUAUGUGGUGGCACUGACCCCUCCCCCUGUCAGUCAUCCUUGUGUUUGAAGAUCUGGCUGCAUCACCAUCAAGCCCGGUCGAAAAGAUCCUCCCGAAAUGGUGAUUUUCAUGCUUAGCGGUGCUCUUCUGAUGCAAAAUCUUCAACCCACUCGGGCCAAGUAAUAACUGCCAUUCUCUGGCUUCAUCCCUUCAGGAAUCCUGAUGCUACAGCAACCGGGGCAACAUGCAGUUUCUUGACCUUCAAUCGAAGAGAUUAAGCAAUUAUGGACGUGUUUCCCAUAUUUGGUAGUGGAGACAGAAUCAGGCAGUCCUUUAAAUAACAUAUCUAAUUUAUGAAGUCAAGUUCCAUAGCCCAUGAAGAUAUGGAGUGCACCUGGAUGUGGCCGUCUCAAAGGAUGUGGUCGACCAGCAAGAGCUGCGGUUUUUCUGUGGCUUCUUCGAUCUGUAUGGAAACCUCUUCUUCGAUUUCCUGCACUCGUUUGUCCCAGAUGUCGUCAACCAGCUUCCAAGCUUCAUCGCUGAUAAUCUGGGUCUGCACACAGACGGCAACCCUCGCAGGCAUUAGCUGCAGCAGCAUGGAAGAGCUUGAAUUCGGCACAAAGCAAUCAAGAUGCCCAGCUGCUAACCUCCAUCGGCCGGGGAGCGCCAAACGUAAAGAAUCCCACAUUCCCUGGGGCAAAGGUGAGCCUUCCAGGUAGGGAAACCCCAUGAAUCCCCCAUCUUCCAGCAUAAACAAGCGCGCCAUACUCAUCAACAGGGUGCACAGGUGGCUGCAGCAAUGAGCAAGCAAGUUGAAGCUUAUCCUAUGCUUUUUAGACCCAUCUGCCUAGGGAAUUGAUGAAUUGGGUAUAGUCACAUCCAUUUGAUAAAUGACUGUUUGGCCAACUGCCACCAAAAUAAUUGGGGCCAAAUCAAUAAAACUAUCCAAAGGAGUUGAAUGGUCUGGAUUUUAUAAGUGCCUAGUAUAAAGCAGUCAAAUUUGCCCAACUAAGGACCAACAUGGUUUGGCAUUGGAGAACGGUAUGAUAAAAUAGGCUUCUGCGGAACCAAACAUAAUAUGACAAUGAGCAAUGCUGAUAAAGGGCAGUGGGCUACAUAUAAUCAGACAUAUUGUAUACAAGAAAUGAUGAUAAUCUUAUUACCUGGGGAAUUCGCGGGGCCUUCUUGUAGACUUCCCAAAUUUUCUCUGCCUUGAUCUCCCCUCUCUCGAGCAAAAUGUCUGAAAGUUGAGGAACAUACAUUAUAUUAUCUAUCGCCAUCAAAAGUGAGGUCACAUCAGAUACAGAAAAGCCAUCCUGGUUGCAUGCGAGAGGAUGAUAAUUCAAGAAAAUUUUGAACUAAAAUAAGAAAAAAAAAAUGAACAAAGCGGAAGCAGGAUUCUCUACCAGUAAUUGUCUCCACUGCUGAGCGAUACUCCCUCAGCACCGAUGCACAUUUUUCGACAGCGAAACGCAUGUAUUCUUCUCGAAGUGCCUCCAAUUUCGGUGCAAGCUGUAAAUUCACACAAGUUCUCACGAUCUGUACAAAGACACUUAUUCACAGAAUCAAAUGCGAGCACGAAUGAAGCACGAUGUAGUUAAAGGCUUAUCAUACAUUUGGUACUAGAUCACUUUGAGUUCUAUAAAACGUUUUUCCAAACGCUGUCAUUCCCGUCUGGAGGAUCAACAUUUCUGUGAGCCUUGAAGCUUCAGAUGUGGCCUUUGCAGAUAUCCAACACAGGUUGUCUAUGCCAAACAUCUCUUCCUCAAUCACUCUUGCUGUGAAUUUGGGUGAUUAGCAGAUGAAUCAUAAACAAAAAUAAUCUAACCGCAAAUAAUGAAACAGAAAUUUUGUGGAACCAAGCAGUCGAAACUAAUGGCACAAGUACUAAAUGCCAAUGAUUUGAUUGAUGUUUUGAAAAUAAGAAUACGAAGCCAAAAGAAAGGUUUUCCUGCUGCCAGAAGCUGUACGAACCUGAUAUUCUAAGUAUUAUGGUUUCUGCAUAUCCACCCAUUUGGUAGGAUCCUUGGGAAGAGUUUGGGCAGGCACAGCAUAUUAAAGCAUUUAAAAGGUUCUCUAGCAAUUUUCGAAAGUGAUCAGGCUCUCUAGCAAUUUUCUCUUGAGUUCCCGACGCAGCCAUUCAAUGUGAUACAUUUUUAGAUCGUGUAUAUAACAGAAAUAUAAAAGUGGUCAAUAAUGACUUCCAGGGAUUCUCAGGAGCCAUCUUCAAGUAUAAGAAUCAACGAUUUUUGUUCACAUCGCCAAGUUAUCGUCAAUUCAAUGUAUGACUCCAAAAAACUAAUCCAGCUAUUGGAUAAUGACACAAAGUUAUGUAUUCAGUGAAUUAGAGUGCCUGAGGGCGCCCCAUUCAAAGAAAAAAAAUUACAACUAUUAUUUGAUGUAGAGGGGAGUGAAAUCCAUAAUUAUCACUCCUUUGUCACAAGAAAAACUUGAGAAUAACGAUCAAAAUUUCACCCACUAAGUCUUCUACACCUGCCCGAGGUAUUCUACGAGGGAAGGCAAUAACUUGCUUCCAAUUAGAAUUCUAUGGUCCCCCUUGUCUAGUACCAAACAUAUGUAUUUGUAUUAUAAAUGAUACCAUGAAAUAACCCUUAUAGAUGUGAUCUAGAAGCGACAUGCAGUAAAUUACCAAAUAGAUAGGAGAAAGAAGCAAAACGAUUUAACUUACGUGCACAUGCUCGCACAAUAGAAGAAACGUAAUCUGAUUUCUUCAAAAAGGCUUUUCCAGAUGUUUCUGCAUAACGCAUAUUUGGCUUGCUACGAAUGGCAUGUAUAUCUGUCUGUUAAUAAUCACUAGUCUUUCAGUUUACUAAUCAAUUCUGAGGAAAGUGAAUCAUCAUAAAAAAAAAAAUCCAGAUGCGCAAGGUCAAUGUAAACUGAGUUGUUUUCUUUAUGCACCUCAACAAAAGGGCGAUGAGGAUCAGGAAAGUAACAUGCAAGAACUGCCACAGCUGCCUCUCUGUACGCCAUCCUCAGGUUCAGCUCAUGAGGGAUUUCGGUACUGUCCUCUUGACCAGUUUCAAAAGUACCUUUUUGCUGUAUAGUAGAAGAAUGGAGUUUCAGUUUAAACUAUAUUCUAGUCCAGAUUAGAGGAAGCAUUUCCUCGAUGCUUUAAAUGGCAUGAUGCAAAUUUCUACCCUCUUCAACGCUUCCAAUAAUUCCUCCCGUCCAAUGUAGUCUUGAUCCUUCCGAGCAGUCAAGAUUCCAGCCUCGUUCCUGCCAAUCGGUUAAAAAAUUAUCAAAAGCACAGCUACUGAAGAACGAAAUGAUUAAUUACAAAGUUAAGUCUCGGCAGCUACAGUAUGUUCUGAAGCUCAGCACCCGUAAAGUCUACUGUCAGCUCUGCAAUCUCCUGAAGAAGAAUAUCUUUUUCCUUUUCAGACUGGAAAAACUUGUUCCUUGCAUGAACCUAUCACAUAGUUGUGAUGUCAGGAGAGUAACACGCCAACAUAAAGAAAAAUUCUGUAAAUGACAGCUCAACUUAGAGAAUCAAGAUUGGAAGAACAGACCUGUAAUAUGGCCAGUCUGCCAUCUUUUGAUGGCAAGCCAACCCUGAUAAUUUUGUCAAAGCGCCCCUUUCUCAAAAGAGCAGGGUCCAGUAUGUCCAAUCUAUUAGUUGCACCAAUCACUAAUACCUGAAAAGCUGAUUUUAGCAGUGUGACUAUCAUAAGUCCUUGGUCGUAACUCGAAUAACUAACUUGCCAAAUUAUACCUGUGAUGUAAAUUCCUUGAAUCCAUCCAUCUCAGUCAAUAUCUGAAGCAGACCUUGCUCCCUUUCGGCACCACCCUUUGAUAAAUACAGUUGAAAAUCUUUGGUUAAUGGAGUGGAUUAUCAGUUAUUAUUCAAGAUAAAUAUUUUCAAUGAGAUGAAAAAAAUAGUAGUGGACCUCUAAAGAAAAAGAAGGAUUUGAACAUGAUGUUUCUUCUGUGAAUCACUAAAUAAUGGCAAGGAAACUAGGUGAUGCAAACCAUACAAAGAUAUACAGAGGGGAAAAUCUAUUCGACAACUCAAAUCAUAGAAUAAUUAUUAGUUAUACACAAUUACCAUGGCCACAGAAAAAAAAGAAACUACCAAAGUUAGGGAAACUGUUCAACUAGGAAACUGCUCUCAACUAGGAAACUGACCAGCAGAAACUAGCCCCUAAUUAAACGAUUUUCCCACACUGGGUUAUGUAAGUGGCACUUAUUCUGGCAUCUAUUUCUUUUCUCUUAUUCACAAUUGGCUUUUUCCUCCGAAAUUCAGUCGCCGGUAGAUUCACCAUUUAAAUUGCCUUCGCAGCAGUUUUCAUCCUCUCUACAUGCUGAACGAGAGCAAAGAUUUUAAUCACUCACAAAGCGAUUCUCAAAUAUGCUGCCCCCCCUGAAGUCAACGAUCCCUUUCUUGACUUACUGUAUUUUUCACCGUCUUGAUGUAGAUUUAUAUCGCCUGGUAUAAGGGAGAAUCCAAAGAAGAAGAACCUUCAUUAGGGCAUGGAACUUCAAUUACCUCACACUUUAUGAGAUAACUCGAAUAGACCCCAACUGCAUUUUGGCUGAUGCUGCAAGUACAUCAACUUAGAAACCAGCUCUGAAUUCAUCCAUGGUAUCACACCCUCGCAAUUGCCAAUGUUGCCCCUAUUACCUUCACAACUAUCACUACCACAUUACCACCAUGAGAGUGAUAAAGCUCCACGCACAUAUGUUAGAAGGAAGAAGGCCCAAAGCCCAAUAAGUCAAUAAUAAUUACUAUUAUUGACAGAAGGCACAAUUACAGCAAAAUUAUGGCAAGAGCAGUUAUGGCAGGAGACUAACUGCCUAAAUAAGAGAGGGAAAGGUGGAUAUAUAAAGAAGGGCGGAACAAGAAGAAGAGGGGGAGAAAUCGGAGUUGGAAUCUCGUGCAUCGACGAGAAGGGGGCUGGAGAGUUGUAUGUGACCUUCCAUCUAUUCUGGUUCUAGGGUUGUAUGCGACCCUCUAUUUGUUUUGAGUUCUUUUACUUUGUUUUAUCUUGAUAUUUCUGUUCUAGAGACUGUUCUACAUCUAUUACGAAAUAUUCGUAGUUCCUAUUGGUUCCUAUCAGAGAGCUACCACCAAACCUGCCACCCUUGUGGCCAAGCAGAAUCCUAGAUCAUCCUUCCCAUACUGCAUUCUCAUUCAACAAUGACGUCCAAUUCAUAUAAGUCAAAUCGGUUUCUCGAAGUAACAAUUCGUAAUACAUGUCAUGAGUGGUUAUUAAAACGUUCCUGAAAGGGAUAGAUAAUUCUGAAUUCAUACACGUUGAAGAGUCAUUGCGUCUUUAAACUUCACUACUGGACUGUGGUCAUUUCUCCGGGCCUUUAAAAUAGAAGACGGUGCGACUAAAAUAACUCCCACUCAUAACACCAAUUGGAAAUUAUGAAAUGACUGACAUUUCUUUUCAAAAAUAAUAUUAAUUGGCAACAAAAAUUGUGAAUAUAAAAAAAUGCACGGCAUGAAAUUAGAUAUAAUCCCAAGGAUUCACGAAUUUUAUAAUGUCCUUCACAAAAUCAGUAUAAUGAAAACUUAAUCUUAGACAACUCUAAUUCAUGACCAUGAAAAAUUAGUGUCAAUACGUCAUUGAUCACUUCAACCGAAAUUGAAAGUUCAAUAUCAAAGUAACAUGAUGAGAACCAAUAAUAUCAAAAGAAAAGCCUAACUGAUCAAAUCCAUACAUGGGCCUUCGUCCUGUACACUUUCUGGUUAUAGACUCGACGGGUAAAGAGAAUUACGCUAAACCAGAAUAGAUCUCACCCCACCAACAUCAGGACCACCACGCUUGCUGCCAAUUGCAUCAAUUUCAUCAAUAAAUAUUAUUGAUGGUGAAAAAGAUCUGGCACUUGAGAAAAGAUCCUUAACUCGUGCGGCUGCAACACCUACAAACAUCUGGAGAUUCAUGUGUAAGAUGUCAAAGUGAAAAUUAAUCCAAAUGAAGGAUUAACCUCCCAUUUUAUGUGAAGCAAAGCUAAAGCAAUCAAGGGUAUACAGAGUACGAGCAGAGGCAACAUUGUAGAUGAAGAAAUUUCAAAAAUAAAAUAUCGAAGGUUCAUAUAGUUCUUUAACCACUGAAGAACCUCGUUUCAACGUUAAUCAAUAUUGCACUAUGGAAAGAAUUACGAUAGCCUUCCCAGAUUUCAUGGACCAUUAAAAAAUAGAUCCUUUCUCGAUUGAUAUUCAACCAGAAAAUAGUAUAUUAGGGAAAAUGAAAAUAUUUAGGAUGGAUCAACUUAACUGUUGUUCAACAAAAUAAAACAUCCCACGUGUGAAUGUCACAAGAUCCAGGCAUGCCAUGCAUUAUUUAUUCAAAAUUUUAAAAACAAUAAAAAGGAAUGUUAAAAAGAAUAUCAGCCUCACCUCCACAAAAUCAGUUCCAUUUGCUGCAAAGAAAGGAAGCCCAGCCUCUCCAGCGAUAGCUUUAGCAAGUAGGGUUUUUCCUGUGCCAGGUGGCCCAUGAAGGAGGACUCCUUUAGGGCAGUAGAUGCCUUUAUCUUGAAAUUCCUCAUCAUUUUUCAGGAUCCGCACUAUCUCCUGCAGUUCUCUCUUUAUAUAUUCUUGGCCUGCAAAAUCAUCAAAUGUGACACCCGUAGUUUCUUCUGCUGAUAUGAAUUUUGCCCUGUUACCACAAAACAUCAAGGGAUUCGGCCUUCAUAUAAGCAUCAUAAUUUAACUAAAUACCAAAAUAAAAACUGGUUAGGAAGAAGAAGAAUAACAUAAAUUCCUAGAAUAAGUCAGCGGAAAUUUUGUAGAUGUCGAAUAGAACACGUCCAGGAUAAAUGAAGGAUGUGAACAAAUUAAAUGGAUCGAGACAUUGUCAUAUGAGGCAGAUCUGUCAUUUUUAAACUACCUUGAGUCAGAUAUAGAAAGGAGGUUGAGUUACAGUGCACAGUAACCAAUCUCAUUCCUCUCCGAAACAGUUUGAAUCCUACUUUCAAGGCUUGAAAAUCAACCAAGACAGGAAACAAGUCCAUGGAUCUAUUAUCAUACAGUAUACCUACACCAAUUUAAAGAGCUAAACAUUGCAUUAAGCGAAAAUGUUUAACUGUGGACCGUCUAGAGAGUUGAAAAGUAAAUCUAAGACAAACUUCCCUGAAUCAAUUUUCAAGGGUACCAGAACAGAACCCAAUUUCAAUUCAAGGGUAACCUAGAAGAAUUGAGUCACAGACUACAAAGUUUGGUCAUAUAUAACACAACAAGUAUUAUGGAGAUUCCAUAAAAAUAAAGGAAAAUAAAUUGCUUUGAGUGGUCAGCAAGCUCAGUUAUGACAAGAUGAAGUUGAUCAGCCAACCCAAUCUAAACUGGCUGAUUGGAUAAGCAGAAUCAACCUAUUUAGGAAGCUUUCUCCAAAUUCUUCUUCGGAUAGUGUCUACUCUCAUGUGUAUUAAUCAAUUCCGAUUGCAAUAGUCAAUUACACCUUGCAUGAUGAGCCGUUUCAGGAAACAUAAAUAGAAAAAUGGAUCAUAUAGCAUUGCGAUGACUGAACGAUUUGAUGGAAAACCUACCAGAAAAAAGGAUCAGCUAUGAUUGAAUAAUUAAUGUGGAAGUGAAGAAUGACAAAGUCUCUAAACCACAACUCACCGGGACUUCCCCAAAGAUCCAAGUGCACGGCGUUUCAUAGGCAUCCUAGCUUUUUUCUCCGGAACACCCAGAUCGCAGGGAAUUAACUUAGCAUAGAUAGGUCUCGCCCAGUUAUCAAUCCAGAGGUACAAAGCAAUUGAUAGAGCAAAACGCAUAGACCAGAUAACAGCAGUCGCAAUUGUGGAGUAUACUUCAGCAGGGACUGAAUUAACAUUAAUAACAUCAACGUGUAUGAGCUGUUGAUGUAGCUUCUGCCAAACAUCAUUCCAGCAAUCAAUUGGCAUUCGAUCAACAAUAUGGCGGCGGAAAACGAUUUCCCUGCCAGAACCCACGGACCCUUCUUUCGUUUCGUCUUUAUAAUACGGUAAUAUCACUGCAUAAAAAGGAAGGCGUGUUAAUAACACCAUAAUGCCCUCAGGACAAACAACUAAAAAUUAAUUGGCUAUGACUGGAGAAGUCUCAUCCUUAUAACCAUAGCUUCAUUUUUGUACUGACGAACAUGGGUAUAUUCUUAUCUGAUUUCCACUGCCAAUGGGCAGAAUCAUAUCAUCAUUUUCUGAUAACAUAAUACAUAGGGUAAAGAGAAGAUAAAGUUCUUCCAGGUUCAACCAAUCCACUCUUCCUGGAUAAUGCUCUUUUCACCUAUUCCCCAUAUGUUAGCCUUCCAUGAAGCGAAAUGAAGCCUUCAGAUGAAGAGGGAAGAACAAAAACUGUGUGCUUCAUCUUCCAAGGGAGAAAAAUGUUGCACAGCAUCUACAGUUUAAGAUAGGUAUUUAUUCUUUCCCUUUUUUUUGCAUUUUCAUCUUAAGUUUCUCCGGUUCCAGAGUAUGCUUAUUUUCCCCCAAAAGUAAUUUCCUCCUGUGUGAGGGAGAAGAUGAUGGAUUAUCUUCACCUCCUCACCUUCUCGCAUUCUGGUUGUAAAGACCAGUAAUAAGGAGAUUCAAAAUUAGACAAAACGUGGAUUGGGAGGCUAGAUAGUUUAGUCUCUCGUAGCAUUAGCUUUCUUCCCCACAACGAAGUUUACAUUUCCACCCAACAAGUUUACCUCUAAGAUUUCUGUAUUAGGUUUAUAUGAUCAGAUAAUUUCUCAAUAGAAUUUUCAUACUAAUAUCAUAGUUUCCAUCCUUGAUCCCUUCAACAUUAUAUUCAAAUUCUUUUGAUAGAAAUAGUUCUACAACAGAAAGAAGCGUUAUUUCAUAUUUAAAUUAAUGCAAAAUGAUAUUAAUUAGUUGAACAAGAAAAAUUAUUCAUUAAAAUUCAGGAAUUAAACAAAGAUUUUAAUCUCAUUAAACUAGAUUACGAUUUUUCGGUGACUUUUAAGGAGAUAAUGAAUUGCAAGACAUGGAAUAUGAGAAUGAGAUCAACACGCUCUUUUGCAGACACUCGAUAAUAUAAACUUAAUCGUUAUUAGAAAUCUUUAUCUUUGCAAUUCGCAGAGACACUGAACGAUGCAAAGGGAUUUGACUGACACUCCAAUAAAAACCUCAGAGACACUGAACGAUGCAAAGGGAUUUGACUGACACUCCAAUAAAAACCUAACAUUAUCAGGUGACUCAAUUGUAGAGGAUAUAUAUCAGGUAGGGCAGUUGAUCUAAAAACUUAUUCAAAUGAUUGAACUCUGUAUUAGGGCCACACACCCAAGUCAAUGGUAUAAGACUUAUGUGACGUGGAUGACUAUUAUGAAAAAUUCCAUAGAUGAUUCAAUUACUGAAGACGCCAAUGCAGCAGUAAAGUGGAUAGGAUAAGUCAUCAAUGAAUGUAUGUUCAAGGCAGUUUUUCUACUAUUCCGGCAGAAUCCGCCAGAAAAGAGAACUAAAAGGAGUUUUUCUUCUAUUCCAGCAAGUUUGCACGUUAAAUUCAUAAGCCUCUGUAUUAAGCUGUAUUAGAUGUUAACUAUAUGAUUAAAAUCGAACUUUAGCUGUAUUUUUUCAAAGCCGCUGUUCUGAAUCCGUCUUAGUUGACACAUUUCAGUUGAACAACAACUAUAGUCCAACCUACGAUGGGGCUAACAUCAUCAAAUCAUAAGUGGGAAACGAUUUGUCCGUAUCAACAGGAAAUACCUUUCAGUUUGUCCACCAUAAAUCCAGUAGGAUCAGUUUCAGAAGUACUGCCCACAUUCACCUAGAAGUAUUUAAGAAGAAAAAACUGACAAAGACAAUAUAAGGAGAGGAAAAGGGGAUUCGGUCUCACAAAAUGAGAUGUGGACCCACAUCUCAUUUUCAAUGCACUCCCUCACGUGCAGGCAUUAGCGUUAAUUAGUGCAUGGCAACUACCCUAGAUUCCUUUCCUGGGAGCAACAGUGACAUAAUUUUGAACAUACGAUAGGCAUCCUCAGCAAUUGAUUGAUUGUAAUGUCCUGUGGUUGUGCAUAUGAAAAAGGUCCAGGAUUUUCAUUAAACAUUAGAAAUUGGUAUAAUAUUCCAAGAUGAGAAACUUAAAUAGGAGUACAAAGGACUUACCAGAGACAGUUUGACCAAAAUUUGAGUACUCCAUGAACUGAACAUUAUUCGAAUUAAGGAGCCUCCAAAAUUCACUAUAGUCGAUCUUAUGUGAAUUUUCUGGAUCCCACUCUGUUCCUUUCAAUUUCCCUUGAAGUUUCAGCAAUGAUCGACUCCAAGAUGAAGCCAAAACAAGCUGUCUCUCUAACUGCAUAUCAGCCUUUCUUUCAAAGUCUUCUAACUUGUUGAUGCGUUCUCUCUCUGCAUUUUUCAGCUUCUGCAUACAUGUUUAAAUCCGUUCAUACUUGAUCCACGACUAAACACCAAAAAAAAUUUUAAAUAAUAGCAACCGGUAAAACAUCAGAAAAACUUUGCACGCUCUUUUUUUCGCAUUAACAUGCGGUGAUACGGUGCAU